UAAUGAGGGUGUCUGUGGGACUGCUAAUGAGGAGGGCAGUAGUGUACAACAAGCACCGUUUGAAGUGGAAUACAAUGAAGAUUAUCCUCGUAGGCCUUUAACAAGAGCCAGAAGUAAACUUUCCCAUGUGCCAUUGGUGUCUCAGCCAGCAGCCAAACCAAAAUCUCGGAAUUCAGUGAAGAGAAAACGGACAGCUGACAAAUCCACAAGCACCAGUGAUCCUGUGAUUGAGGAUGACCACAUCCAGGUUUUGACACUAAAAUCAAAAAACCUUGUUGGAAUCACCUUGACUAACUGCGGCAUAACAGACCUGGUGCUGAAAGACUGCCCUAAAAUGAUGUUCAUUCACGGUAUGUACAUUUUGUUUCUUAAAGCUUGAGAAAUAUUCUUG